CGUAGGGUGCAAGCGUUAAUCGGAAUUACUGGGCGUAAAGCGUGCGCAGGCGGUUGUGUAAGACAGAUGUGAAAUGCCCGGGCUUAACCUGGGAACUGCAUUUGUGACUGCACGGCUAGAGUUUGGCAGAGGGGGGUAGAAUUCCACGUGUAGCAGUGAAAUGCGUAGAUAUGUGGAGGAAUACCGAUGGCGAAGGCAGCCCCCUGGGUCAAGACUGACGCUCAUGCACGAAAGCGUGGGGAGCAAACAGGAUUAGAUACCCUGGUAGUCCACGCCCUAAACGAUGUCUACUAGUUGUCGGGUCUUAAUUGACUUGGUAACGCAGCUAACGCGUGAAGUAGACCGCCUGGGGAGUACGGUCGCAAGAUUA
rnacentral:rRNA from 1 species